rnacentral:lncRNA from 1 species
GCGCCACUGCACUCCAGCCUGGGCGACAGAGCGAGACUCCGUCUCAAAAAAAAAAAAAAAAAAAUACAUAAAGCAAAAACUGAAAGAACUGAAAAGAGAAAUAGAUAAAUUCAAAAUUGUGACUAGAGUUCAACAAUUCUCUCUCAGCAAUAGAUGGAACAGGCAGACAGAAAUAGAUGCAGAAAAAGCAUUCGACAAAAUCCAGCAUCCCUUUGUGAUUAAAACUCUCAGCAAAAUUGGCAUACAAGGGACAUACCUCAAUAUAAAGACUAAGCAAAGAGAACAAAUCUGGAGGCAUCACAUUACCUGAUUUCAAACUAUACUAUUUGGCCACAGACACCAAAACAGCGUGGUACUGGCAGAAAUAAACCCAAAUACUUACAGCCAACUGAUCUUCAACAAAGCAAACAAAAACAUAAAGUGGGGAGAGGACACCCUUUUCAACAAAUGGUGCUGGGAUAACUGGCUAGCCACAUAUAAGAAAAUGAAACUGGAUCCUCAUCCUUCACCUUAUACAAAAAUGAACUCGAGAUGGAUUAAGGACUUAAAUCUAAAACCUGAAACUGUAAAAAUUUUAGAAGAUAACAUUGAAAAAACCCUUCUAGACAUUGGCUUAGGCAAAGAUUUCAUGACCAAGAACCCAAGUCAUGUGCCUCUCUGCUGAAAGUAAGGGAUUUAUUACAAACAUCAAACACGGCAUAACGUUUUGGCUUACUU